AAAACAUCUUUUCUAGUUAUUUUAUUUGAGAUUUGACCUGCCCAAUGAUAUUAUUAAAUGGCCGCGGUAUUUUGACCGUGCAAAGGUAGCAUAAUCAUUAGUCUAUUAAUUGUGGACUUGUAUGAAUGGUUGGACGAAAUAUUAACUGUCUCAUAUUAAUUAAUGUAAUUUAAAUUUUGAGUUAAAAUGCUUAAAUUUUUUUAUAGGACGAGAAGACCCUAUAGAUCUUUAUUUUUGAAAAUAUUAUUUUAUUUUGGUUAUUUUUUUAUGAUUUUUUUAAUUAUUUUGUUGGGGUGACAUAGAUAUAUAUUUAACUAUUUAUUAUUAUUAUUCAAUUAUUUUUGUUUAUUUGACCUUUUAUUAUUGUUAUAAGAUUAGAUACCUUAGGGAUAACAGCGUAAUUCCUUUUGAGAGUUCAUAUCGACAAUGGAGAUUGCGACCUCGAUGUUGGAUUAAGAUUAUAUUUAGGUGUAGGUGCUUAAAUAUUAAGUCUGUUCGACUUUUAAAUUCUUACA
rnacentral:rRNA from 1 species